rnacentral:lncRNA from 1 species
CAUAAUCAUCUCUUGCUUCAUCACUUGGUAUGUACCAACCUCAUCUAAUCUACACACUUAGUAUAGAUGUUAGUACUUUGGAUUUCAUCAAUUAUCUAAAACCAAACUAGGGCUUUCACUGGGUUGUCUGCUAACACCAACCAAGAGAUGGCUAAGGAGCUCUGAGUUGCCUCCAAGGAAACGAUAGGGUUAGAGUUGUAAAGAACAUUAAUUACUUGGUUCUUUAUUUAGAAUAUGCAG